UAGUCCUACGGGGGGCAGCAGUGAGGAAUAUUGGUCAAUGGGCGCGAGCCUGAACCAGCCAAGUCGCGUGAGGGAUGACGGUCGUACGGAUUGUAAAUCUCUUUUGCCGGGGAGCAAGCGUGCGUCCGUGAACGCGCGUCGAGAGUACCCGGAGAAAAAGCAUCGGCUAACUCCGUGCCAGCAGCCGCGGUAAUACGGAGGGUGCGCGCGUUAAUCGGAAUUACUGGGCGUA
rnacentral:rRNA from 1 species